GACGAACGCUGGCGGCGUGCUUAACACAUGCAAGUCGAACGGUGAAGCUCCAGCUUGCUGGAGUGGAUCAGUGGCGAACGGGUGAGUAACACGUCAGCAACCUGCCCCAGACUCUGGAAUAAGCGCUGGAAACGGCGUCUAAUACUGGAUACGAGAUCAAGCCGCAUGGUUAUGGUCUGGAAAGUUUUUCGGUUUGGGAUGGGCUCGCGGCCUAUCAGCUUGUUGGUGAGGUAAUGGCUCACCAAGGCGACGACGGGUAGCCGGCCUGAGAGGGCGACCGGCCACACUGGGACUGAGACACGGCCCAGACUCCUACGGGAGGCAGCAGUGGGGAAUAUUGCACAAUGGGCGAAAGCCUGAUGCAGCGACGCCGCGUGAGGGAUGACGGCCUUCGGGUUGUAAACCUCUUUCAGCAGGGAAGAAGCGAAAGUGACGGUACCUGCAGAAGAAGCACCGGCUAACUACGUG
rnacentral:rRNA from 1 species